CCCUUAGAUGUUCUGGGCCGCACGCGCGCUACACUGGUCGAUGCAACGAGUUUCUUUCCUUGGCCGACAGGCCUGGGCAAUCUUUGAACAUCGAUCGUGAUCGGGAUAGAUUCUUGUAAUUUUUGAUCUUAAACGAGGAAUUCCUAGUAAACGCAAGUCAUCAGCUUGCAUUGAUUACGUCCCCGCCCUUUGUACACACCGCCCGUCGCACCUACCGAUUGAAUGGUCCGGUGAAAUCUCCGGACUGGCGUGAGUCGGAGCAAUCUGACAAACACCGGAAAGUUGAUUAAACCUUACCAUUUAGAGGAAGGUGAAGUCGUAACA
rnacentral:rRNA from 1 species